GUGACCUUAGUUUAGUGGUAAAACUCCACUCUGUGGAAGUGGUAUCGGGAGUUCGAUUCUCCUAGGUCACC
rnacentral:tRNA from 1 species